UGCCAGCCGCCGCGGUAAUACGAAGGGUGCGAGCGUUAAUCGGAAUCACUGGGCGUAAAGCGUACGUAGGUGGCAAGGUCAGUCAGGCGUGAAAGCCCUCGGCUCAACCGAGGAAUUGCGCUUCAAACCACUAGACUUGAGGGAGGCAGAGGUGAGUGGAACUGAUGGUGGAGCGGUGAAAUGCGUUGAUAUUAUCAGGAACACCAGUGGCGAAGGCGACUCACUGGGCCUCUUCUGACGCUGAGGCACGAAAGCUAGGGUAGCGAACGGGAUUAGAUA
rnacentral:rRNA from 1 species